rnacentral:rRNA from 1 species
UGAAUACGAGAUGCUACGGCGUCGAAGCAGUCUAUGUCAUACUUCCAAGAAAAGCUUGCACUGUCAUAAACAAAUAAUGCCUGUACCAUAACCGACACAGGUGGGUAGGUAGAGUAUACUAAGGGGCGCGAGAUAACUCUCUCUAAGGAACUCGGCAAAAUGACUCCGUAACUUCGGGAGAAGGAGUGCCUUAUUUAUAAGGUUGCAAUAACAAGAUCCAAGCAACUGUUUACCAAAAACACAGGUCUCCGCUAAGUCGUAAGACGAUGUAUGGGGGCUGACGCCUGCCCAGUGCCAGAAGGUUAAAGAAGUUGGUUAGCAUCCGCGAAGCUGAUAACUGAAGCCCUGGUGAACGGCGGCCGUAACAAUAACGGUCCUAAGGUAGCGAAAUUCCUUGUCGGGUAAGUUCCGACCCGCACGAAAGGCGUAAUGAUUUGGAUACUGUCUCGGAGAGGGGCUCGGUGAAAUAGACUUGUCUGUGAAGAUGCGGACUACCUGCACCAGGACAGAAAGACCCUAUGAAGCUUUACUGUAACCUGAAAUUGAAAUUGGACUUUACUUGCGCAGUAUAGGUGGGAGACGAUGAGAAUAUUCUUGCGGGAUUAUUGGAGCCAUCAGUGAGAUACCACUCUUGUAAUGUUAGAUUUCUAACUUUGUAUCAUUAUCUGGUCAAAGAACAGUUUCAGGCGGGCAGUUUGACUGGGGCGGUCGCCUCCUAAACGGUAACGGAGGCGCACAAAGGUUUCCUCUGAACGGGUAGAAAUCGUAUCUAGAGUGUAAAGGCAUAAGGAAGCUUGACUGUGAGACCUACAAGUCGAGCAGGGACGAAAGUCGGUCUUAGUGAUCUGACGGUGCUGAGUGGAAAGGCCGUCACUCAACGGAUAAAAGUUACUCUAGGAUAACAGGCUGAUCUCCCCCAAGAGUUCACAUCGACGGGGAGGUUUGGCACCUCGAUGUCGGCUCAUCGCAUCCUGGGGCGGUAGUACGUCCCAAGGGUUGGGCUGUUCGCCCAUGAAAGCGGUACGCGAGCUGGGUUCAGAACGUCGUGAGACAGUUCGGUCCAUAUCCGGUGUAGGCGUUAGAAUAUUGAGAGGAGCCUUCUUUAGUACGAGAGGACCGAGAAGGACAUACCUCUGGUGUACCAGUUAUCGUGCCAACGGUAAACGCUGGGUAGCUAUGUGUGGAGUGGAUAACCGCUGAAAGCAUCUAAGUGGGAAGCCCACCUCAAGAUAAG